UCCGCAUCCGCAAGGGUGGUGUUGAUGCCGGCGUUGUUCACCAGGCCCCAGAGCCCUGCAUGCCAAGAAGGAAACUGGCUUGCUGGUGUGAGACUCUGAGAAUCCUACACCUACCUUGCUUCUGUUCUGAUUGCCAACACUCUCAAGUUACCUGUCCUCACUGUCUGAGCCUUGAUGAACUGCAAGACUCUCUGGAUGUCCUCAGCUUUGGUCAGGUCCAUUUCCAGCAGGGUCAGGCGCGACGAGCAGCUCUGCCGAAGCUCCUCUGCGCCAGGACUCUUCAGAUCCAGGACACUAGCAUAGACGGGUGAACAGCAUGGAAAACUGACAUUCCAAAAAAUCACCAUUACCAAGGAAAGGUCAUGCAGUGGAUGGAAAACUGGAGGCAAACAAAGAUUCCCAAAAUUAGCACUGUGGUUCAUACUGGGUCAAGUUCUGCUGAACUAUCAGGGAAGAAUAAACUGAGUGACGCUAAAAGACAUGAAA